UCCGAGUUGUCCCCGGCAGUCUCCUUAGAGUCCCCACCAUUACGUGCUGGCAACUAAGGACAGGGGUUGCGCUCGUUGCGGCACUUAAGCCAACACCUCACGGCACGAGCUGACGACAGCCAUGCAGCACCUGUGCUAGCCCCAAAAGGACACGGGCUUUCACCCGCUUUAACUAGCAUGUCAAGCCUAGGUAAGGUGGGGAUGACGUAGCUAAGCCUUC
rnacentral:misc_RNA from 1 species